rnacentral:rRNA from 1 species
CCUACGGGUGGCUGCAGUGAGGAAUAUUGGUCAAUGGACGCAAGUCUGAACCAGCCAUGCCGCGUGCAGGAUGACGGCUCUAUGAGUUGUAAACUGCUUUUGUACGAGGGUAAACCCCGAUACGUGUAUCGGGGUGAAAGGAACGUACGAAUAAGGAUGGGCUAACUCCGUGCCAGAAGCCGCGGUAAUACGGAGGAUCCGUGCGUUAUCCGGAUUUAUUGGGGUUUAAGGGGGCGUAGGCGGUUUGAUAAGUUAGAGGUGAAAUGUCGGGGCUCCACCCCGAAACUGCCUCUAAUACGGUUGGACUAGAGCAUAGUUGCGGUAGGCGGAAUGUAUGGUGUAGCGGUGAAAUGCUU